AUGAAGUCCAGCGCCGGGGCGCUGGAAAUUGUACUAUCCUCAGCGCCGGGGCGCUGAGCCUCGGCUGGCGUUGACCGGAUUAGCGCGUUUGACUUCUGGUUGGACUUAAUUUGUCUAUUAAGGGCUAAUAAUAAAACCUAAUUGGAGAAGGAUUGUGGGGGACUAUAAAAAGAAACUAAUUGCUGAAUUAAAANNNNNN
rnacentral:lncRNA from 1 species